AGAGUUUGAUCAUGGCUCGAGGACGAACGCUGGCGGCGUGCUUAACACAUGCAAGUCGAACGGUGACGAAUGGAGCUUGCUCUGCUCUGAUCAGUGGCGAACGGGUGAGUAACACGUGAGUAACCUGCCCCUGACUCUGGAAUAACUUCGGGAAACCGAAGCUAAUACCGGAUAUGACACAGAGCCGCAUGGUUUCUGUGUGGAAAGUUUUCGGUUGGGGAUGGACUCGCGGCCUAUCAGCUUGUUGGUGAGGUAAUGGCUCACCAAGGCGACGACGGGUAGCCGGCCUGAGAGGGCGACCGGCCACACUGGGACUGAGACACGGCCCAGACUCCUACGGGAGGCAGCAGUGGGGAAUAUUGCACAAUGGGCGAAAGCCUGAUGCAGCGACGCCGCGUGAGGGAUGAAGGCCUUCGGGUUGUAAACCUCUUUCAGUAGGGAAGAAGCGCAAGUGACGGUACCUACAGAAGAAGCACCGGCUAACUACGUG
rnacentral:rRNA from 1 species